rnacentral:rRNA from 1 species
AGUGAACGCUGGCGGUAGGCCUAACACAUGCAAGUCGAACGGCAGCACAGUAAGAGCUUGCUCUUACGGGUGGCGAGUGGCGGACGGGUGAGGAAUACAUCGGAAUCUACUUUUUCGUGGGGGAUAACGUAGGGAAACUUACGCUAAUACCGCAUACGACCUACGGGUGAAAGCAGGGGAUCUUCGGACCUUGCGCGAUUGAAUGAGCCGAUGUCGGAUUAGCUGGUUGGCGGGGUAAAGGCCCACCAAGGCGACGAUCCGUAGCUGGUCUGAGAGGAUGAUCAGCCACACUGGAACUGAGACACGGUCCAGACUCCUACGGGAGGCAGCAGUGGGGAAUAUUGGACAAUGGGCGCAAGCCUGAUCCAGCCAUACUGCGUGGGUGAAGAAGGCCUUCGGGUUGUAAAGCCCUUUUGUUGGGAAAGAAAAGCAGCAGGUUAAUACCCCGCUGUUCUGACGGUACCCAAAGAAUAAGCACCGGCUAACUUCGUG